CCCUAUUAUUAGUGAAAUAAAAAAAAUUAGGGAGUAGGAAAACUGAAAACUAUCCAGAAUGGCGGUUUUUUUUAUUCUCAGAUAAAUGUGUUUUGAAAACGAAAGUGCACGAAUAUCUUUCUUGGUCUUGAAAAUCCAUCCUGUACACCGCCGUCUGAAGGAUCAGCUUAAAUAGUUAAUUCUAUUUCUUCUAGGAAAUAAGUCAGGUUAGGUGCAGAUAAUGGUCAAGAAAAAAUGCAUUUCACUAAAUUAACAAGGGAAAUUUGAAACAAUUUACUUAAGUUGAAUUUGAAAGUAAGGUUUUUUAAUGAAAAAAAUCUGAAAUAAUACCAAAAAAAUGUACACAUCGCCC
rnacentral:rRNA from 1 species